GGGGGGGGGUGGGGGGGGGGCGGGGGGGGGGGGGGGGGGGGGGUGGGGGGGGGGGGCUUGGGGGGACGGGUGGGGCGUGGUGGAGGGGGGCGGAGGAGCUAGGAGUGGACUGUUGCGUGGGGGCGACCGUGGGGACAGUUACGCGCGUACCGCAGACGACCUACUGGUGACAGCAGCGACUCUCAGGAACCCGUGUGCUUUACGGUUGCAUUGUCGGAGUAGCUAGUUGGUGUGGUAACGGCGCACCAAGGCGACGAUCCGUAGCGGGUCUGAGAGGAUGAUCAGCCACACUGGAACUGAGACACGGUCCAGACUCCUACGGGAGGCAGCAGUGGGGAAUAUUGGACAAUGGGCGCAAGCCUGAUCCAGCCAUACCGCGUGGGUGAAGAAGGCCUUCGGGUUGUAAAGCCCUUUUGUUUGGGAAGAAAAGCAGCAGGUUAAUACCCCGCUGUUCUGACGUUACCCAAAGAAUAAGCACCGGCUAACUUCGUG
rnacentral:rRNA from 1 species